CAUCUAAGCACGAAGCCCCUCCCGAGAUAAGAUCUCCCUGGAACGCAAGUUCCCUGAAGAGUCCUGGAAGAUUACCAGGUUGAUAGGCUGGAGGUGUAAGCGCUGCGAGGCGUUAAGCUGACCAGUACUAAUCGCUCGUGAGGCUUGGCCUU
rnacentral:rRNA from 1 species